UACGGAGGGUGCAAGCGUUAUCCGGAUUCAUUGGGUUUAAAGGGUGCGCAGGCGGAAUGAUAAGUCAGUGGUGAAAUCCAACAGCUCAACUGUUGAACUGCCACUGAUACUGUCAUUCUUGAGUACAGUGGAAGUGGGUGGAAUGUAUCAUGUAGCGGUGAAAUGCAUAGAUAUGAUACAGAACACCGAUAGCGAAAGCAGCCCACUAUACUGAAACUGACGCUCAGGCACGAAAGCGUGGGGAGCAAACAGG
rnacentral:rRNA from 1 species